AGAGCAGCCUGGCAGUGUCCAAGCAACAAGCCUCGGCCCCUCCUUCCUGCACCCUGGGGCUCCUGAAACUCACCUGGGAAGGAGGGCUUUCUGAGAUUUGAGGGAAACAAGCUCUCAGGACUUCCGGUCGCCAUGAUGGCUGUGGGCGGUAAACGGGGUUAGUGCAAGCAUCUGGGCCAUCUUCAAUGGUAAAAAAGAUACAGUAAAGACAUAAAUACCACGUUUGACAAAUGGAAAAAAAGGAGUGUCCAGAAAAGAGUAGCAGCAGUGAGAAAGAGCUGCCGAGACGGGUAUACAGGGAGCUACCCCGUGUUUCUGAGAUCCGUUAUGACAUCUCACAUUUUUUCCAAGAAGAUGAUGAGACAGAGGCAGAGCCAUUCUUGUUCCAUGCUGUUCCUGAGAGUCAACUAUGUGGGUGGGACAUUCCCAGGUAAGAAAAGCUAUUCUGUUGGAAAACUAUUGGGCGCUGUGUCUCAAUAUCACAGAGGAACAUGAGAAUUAGAGGAAUUUGGGUGUUUUUCAUCGAACUCAGGGGAGAAUGAAUGAGCUUAUGCA
rnacentral:sRNA from 1 species